ACAAUCUAAGUUUGAUUUCCCACACCCUGGUUGGGCUUCAGCUUUAGGGCAGCCAACACUUCUGACCUCGAGGGGCAUCUGAGCAUAGGUGCAUAUAUCCAUACACAAGCACAAGUACAUAAGUUAAAAUAAAAAUAAAAUAUUUGAAAAGUAACCAACAGUAAGCAUUUACUUUAAAAUGCAAGAAAGAAAAUAAACUUUAUAAGAAAUGCUGGCCAUAGAUUCUCUAUCUUUCUUUUGCUUCUCUGUUCUUGAUGUACUGCCAAGAGAUAAGUGUAUUGUUGUCUUGUUCUUACUUCAUGGCACUCAGCAGAUUCUUGAGAAUAUUAUCAGAUGAAUGAAUGACUAAAUGAAAAUACAGAAUGUCUAGCAUUCUGUCAGACAGAGUGCUAUUAAUUUUUUUUUUUAUUUCAGCUUCCUAGGGUUUCCCGAACAGUAGACACUAAAGAAGAAUUUGUUUUGUAUUAAAAUGACAUUCUUAACAUUUUCUACCCCUCCAAAAAGAAUAUAAAGCAUUUGUAUUCAAUUGGUAAUUUAAUUUUAAGUCAGGUAAAAUUUGCUUUAUUCUCUUGUUUUACAUGAAGAAUACCUCCUCUAAGCCAGGAGAUGGUGACUCACACCUUUAAUCCCAGCACUCAGGAGGCAGAGACAGGAAGAUCUCUGUGAGUUCAAGAACAACCUGGUCUACAAAGUGAGUUUCAGGACAGGCUCCGAAGCUACAGAGAAAACCCAACUCUCCACUUGAGGAUUCUAAUUUGUUCUAUUCAUUCUUUUUCACAAACAUCACUUUCAUGGUGCAGUUAAUUUUAUAUAUUGUAGCCUGAAAGGCUCUGUUAAACAAGCAACAACAAACAAAUGAAACAAAAUACAACACUAAGCAUUAAUUACAAGAUCAGAGCCUGAUUCCUUGAGGAUCUAGCAGAAAAUGAAUGAGCAAGCAGAGAAGAAAUCUAUUAAGCUCUCUCUUGCACUCAGGUAGUACGAAAGCCAGGCCUGCCCGUGUUGGAGUCCCAGCCUCCCCACCUGUUCUUGGCUUUAUAGGGCAAGUCUUUCUGUACCUGUGCCUUGCAAGUCAACUACAGACAAGUGCAUCUGCUAAUGGCAGCCAGCAAGAGUUCAGUAUUAACUGUCAAUACAUAGACUCCAUACAUUUUACCUGGAAGAAAACAUAUGUCACCUAGGUUCAAGAGGCCAGAGAACUGAAGACCGAAAAGCAGUGAAGAACUACCAGAGGAAUGCCAUGGAUGAUCACUUGGAACCCAGCAGCCCAGAGAAAGCCAACAGUCACAUGGGAUAGACUACCACAAGACUGCAUUCUCCUCUUACAGCUAUACACAGUUGCUGACACUUGUUCAUGGUUGUAAAAGCCCUACUCUAUCUCUGAAUUAGUGUUUGUAUAAUAUUAUAUAAAAUCAAGUUACCCAAGCAAGAGGUACCAAAGAGUUAUAGGAUAUAAUUAAAAUUUAUCUGAAGGCAUUCAGAUGUGGACUAUUGGCAGCUUUAAACCUGAUACACCAAUGGAUGCUUAUGAAAGUCUACUCUUUUUAUCAUUUUAAUUUUUUUAAAUUAUAAUUACAUCAUUCUUCCCCUGUUUCUUUCUCCAACCCCACUCAUUUUCUCAAAUUAAUGAUAGACAAGCAAUUUCUGUGCUCUUUCCUGGGGAAGAUUGUUUCUCCCACUCUCAGUAUUCCUUACUUGCCUAUAGUUCUUGGUGUAGGGUUGAGGCCUCAUGAAGUUUCCCAUCCAUGUCAGCACGUCUAUUGCCAUUGUCCUUGUUCAGGUCAGGAUUAAAGGUAGGUUAGUGAGACUCGAUGGGCCCAGGCCCAAAUGACAUAUCCAGAGGUCUACACUUUCUUGAAAAUGGAGCAUGUGCAUGAAAUGAAUUUUAAAUAAUUAAAAUGUAAGGUCCCAGGCGAAUACCUUUUGUUUUUAUUUAUCUUAAAUAUAUCAAGAUAAAGGAAAUCUUCUGAUAGAGAUCAAAAGGCUUAAAUUCUUUGCUAUUCACUAAAGCCCUUUAAAGCCGUUUGAUUGAUAUGCCAACAAUGAUCAGUAGUCUCAUGUCCUUAAUGUGUUAGACAUAAAAUAUGAGCUAUUGGAAUAAAUAAAAUAUGCAACAUCA
rnacentral:lncRNA from 1 species